UACGUAGGGUGCAAGCGUUAAUCGGAAUUACUGGGCGUAAAGCGUGCGCAGGCGGUUUCGUAAGUCUGUCGUGAAAUCCCCGGGCUUAACCUGGGAAUGGCGAUGGAGACUGCGAGGCUAGAGUUUGGCAGAGGGGGGUAGAAUUCCACGUGUAGCAGUGAAAUGCGUAGAGAUGUGGAGGAACACCGAUGUCGAAGGCAGCCCCCUGGGUCAAAACUGACGCUCAUGCACGAAAGCGUGGGGAGCAAACAGG
rnacentral:rRNA from 1 species